rnacentral:rRNA from 1 species
UACGGAGGGUGCGAGCGUUGUCCGGAUUUAUUGGGUUUAAAGGGUGCGUAGGCGGCUGUAUAAGUCCGGGGUGAAAGCCCGUUGCUUAACAACGGAACUGCCCUGGAUACUGUAGAGCUUGAGUACAGACGAGGUUGGCGGAAUGGACCGAGUAGCGGUGAAAUGCAUAGAUACGGUCCAGAACCCCGAUUGCGAAGGCAGCUGGCUAGGCUGAUACUGACGCUGAGGCACGACAGCGUGGGGAGCGAACAG